GAACGAGGGAGAGACGUUCUUUCCACAGCUGAGCUGACUGGCGCAUGCAGGCGGGCUGCCGCUCCAGCUCUCUCUGCCAAGACAGCUAUCUUUCACAGAGCUGUCAGCGGUGUGACUGGCAGCCUGUCACUGGCUCUGCACACCUCCUUCUCCCUCUGCCUUCCCUCCGCCUCGGGUUGAACCUACCACAAGACUCGGGGAGAGCAGACAUGCCGUCUGUGCCACAGUGCCACGCCCAAGGGAUAUCAGCUGCGGAUGGUACUGUGACAUCUUCUACGAUUUGAUGCGUGUCGUCAGUCAUGACCCGUCAAAAAGGAUCUCAUGGAGAAGAGGUUGGCUAGCAUGGUCGACAGGCCCUGGGCCAGACAGCUCUGG